rnacentral:tmRNA from 1 species
CAGGUCGUACGCCGGAUGCGGUCCCCUGACGCACGAUACGGGUCAACCGCACAAUUCAUCGCGCUCAGCUCCGCCGGGUGUCCGUACCGGCGUGGUGAAACUCCACGGAAUGGCGUUGGGUGAGGUAGCGGCUGCCAACACCCCAGCGUGACGACGACAACGCCGAUAAACUUGUAGAAACCCAGGCUAUUGCCCGAUAGGACGCGGGUUCGAUUCCCGCCGCCUCCAUUU